rnacentral:rRNA from 1 species
UACGGGGGGGAGCAAGCGUUGUUCGGAUUUACUGGGCGUAAAGGGCGCGUAGGCGGCCAGCACAAGUCAGUUGUGAAAUCUCCGGGCUUAACUCGGAAAGGUCAACUGAUACUGUGCGGCUAGAGUGCGGAAGGGGCAACUGGAAUUCUCGGUGUAGCGGUGGAAAUGCGUAGAUAUCGAGAGGAACACCUGCGGCGAAGGCGGGUUGCUGGGCCGACACUGACGCUGAGGCGCGAAAGCCAGGGGAGCGAACGGG